rnacentral:rRNA from 1 species
AAACUUAAAUGAAUUGACGGGGAGCACCACGAACGGGUGGAGCUUGCGGUUUAAUUGGAUUCAACGCCGGAAAUCUUACCGGGACCGACAGCAAUAUGAAGGCCAGGCUGAAGGCUUUGCCGGAUUAGCUGAGAGGUGGUGCAUGGCCGUCGUCAGUUCGUACUGUGAAGCAUCCUGUUAAGUCAGGCAACGAGCGAGACCCACGCCCACAGUUGCCAGCGUACUCUCUGGAGUGACGGGUACACUGUGGGACCGCCGCUGCUAAAGCGGAGGAAGGAAUGGGCAACGGUAGGUCAGUAUGCCCCGAAUAUCCCGGGCUACACGCGAGCUACAAUGGUUGGUACAAUGGGUAUCUACCCCGAAAGGGGACGGGAAUCUCCUAAAACCAAUCUUAGUUCGGAUUGAGGGCUGCAACUCGCCCUCAUGAAGCUGGAAUCCGUAGUAAUCGCGUUUCAACAGAACGCGGUGAAUACGUCCCUGCUCCUU